GACGAACGCUGGCGGCGUGCUUAACACAUGCAAGUCGAACGGUAAGGCCCUUCGGGGUACACGAGUGGCGAACGGGUGAGUAACACGUGGGUGAUCUGCCCUGCACUUUGGGAUAAGCCUGGGAAACUGGGUCUAAUACCGAAUCGGAAUGCGCACUGCAUGGUGUGUGGUGGAAAGCUUUUGCGGUGUGGGAUGGGCCCGCGGCCUAUCAGCUUGUUGGUGGGGUGAGGGCCUACCAAGGGGACGGCGGGUAGCCGGCCUGAGAGGGUGACCGGCCACACUGGGACUGAGAUACGGCCCAGACUCCUACGGGAGGCAGCAGUGGGGAAUAGUGCACAAUGGGCGCAAGCCUGAUGCAGCGACGCCGCGUGAGGGAUGACGGCCUUCGGGUUGUAAACCUCUUUCAGCACAGACGAAGCGCAAGUGACGGUAUGUGCAGAAGAAGGACCGGCCAACUACGUGCCAGCCGCCGCGGUAA
rnacentral:rRNA from 1 species